UAGCAAAUUGUCCAUAAAUUCAAGCGAAGGUUUGAAAGAAUGUAUUUCACUUUAUUCUUUUACCAUACAACAUAUUCUAGCUUCCUAAGCAAUAUGAAAGAAUACAUGCAUCCAAUAAUAAAUAAUAAUUUUCGGAAUCUUUAAACAAAUUGAUAAAUGGGUAAAACAAUAUGUUGAAUAUAAAGUUAAAGAAGAGCAUAA
rnacentral:misc_RNA from 1 species